rnacentral:rRNA from 1 species
GGCUUAACACAUGCAAGUCGAGGGGUAACAGGGUGCUUGCACCGCUGACGACCGGCGAACGGGUGCGUAACGCGAUAUAGAAUCUGCCUUGUACAGGGAGGAUAGCCUUUAGAAAUGAAGAUUAAUACUCCAUAAUACUGAGAUGUGGCAUCACAAUUUAGUUAAAGAUUUAUCGGUACAAGAUGACUAUGCGUCCUAUUAGCUAGAUGGUAAGGUAACGGCUUACCAUGGCAACGAUAGGUAGGGGGUCUGAGAGGAUUAUCCCCCACACUGGUACUGAGACACGGUACCAGACUCCUACGGGAGGCAGCAGUGAGGAAUAUUGGUCAAUGGAGGCAACUCUGAACCAGCCAUGCCGCGUGCAGGAAGACUGCCCUAUGGGUUGUAAACUGCUUUUAUACAGGAAGAAACAGUCGUACGAGUACGACCUUGACGGUACUGUAAGAAUAAGCACCGGCUAACUCCGUGCCA